GCGGCGGUAGUCUAGCCUGGUAGGACACCAAACCCAAUAGGGUGUGGAGGCCUGCCAACCCGAAAAAAACCUGAAGGGCGGAGCGCUGGGGGUCGCGGGUUCAAAUCCCGCCCGCCGCACCA
rnacentral:tRNA from 1 species